rnacentral:lncRNA from 1 species
CCAUCUAGAGAGUCUCCAUACAUUGUGUCCUCCCAGUCCCAGACCUGCACUAAUUAUGUAUGGUUCGGUUUGUUUCCUUUUUUUGUUAAGUAAUGGGGCCGUUUGGGCAAGCUUAAAAAAAGUGAUUCCGUGCUUAAAGUAAAGAAGUGGAUCAGAAGUGAGAAGUAAAUAAGUUAAUAAAGUGUUUGGAAAAGAAGCAGAAGCUCUGAGAGAGAAGUUAGCAUUCUCAGCUUCUUAAAAGUGCUUCUACUUCUUUACACAAACGGGUCAAGAGAAGCAGAAGCCAGCUUCUGCUUCCUCAAUACAAACAGCCCCAAUAACUAUAUUAACCCAGCAAGAAGAUACAUCAAGGACUAGGGCAUACCACAGCUUCAGCAAAUGAUCAGGACAGGAUCCAUUUAGCCAUAAUUUAAGCAGUAAACAACUAGCCUAGGGAGAAACAACCAAUACAACAUGCUAAUUAACCUGAACUCAGCAGCAACCACUUUGUCGAAUUUUCCCAUUCUUGUUUAGUUUUGUUUAAAUCUGAUAAUAUAUGCAAUAACACAAACAUCUCUGAGUCAGAGAUCAAAUUUUCCUGCUUCAAAAUCUUAUAACAU